GAAAGGCGCUUCGGCGUCGCCUGGGGAUGGCUUUGCGGUGCAUUAGCUAGUUGGUGGGGUAAUGGCCCACCAAGGCGACGAUGCAUAGCCGACCUGAGAGGGUGAUCGGCCACACUGGGACUGAGACACGGCCCAGACUCCUACGGGAGGCAGCAGUAGGGAAUCUUCCACAAUGGACGAAAGUCUGAUGGAGCAACGCCGCGUGAACGAUGAAGGCCUUCGGGUCGUAAAGUUCUGUUGUAAGGGAAGAACAAGUGCCGCAGGCAAUGGCGGCACCUUGACGGUACCUUGCGAGAAAGCCACGGCUAACUACGUGCCAGCAGCCGCGGUAAUACGUAGGUGGCAAGCGUUGUCCGGAAUUAUUGGGCGUAAAGCGCGCGCAGGCGGCCUCUUAAGUCUGAUGUGAAAGCCCCCGGCUCAACCGGGGAGGGCCAUUGGAAACUGGGAGGCUUGAGUAUAGGAGAGAAGAGUGGAAUUCCACGUGUAGCGGUGAAAUGCGUAGAGAUGUGGAGGAACACCAGUGGCGAAGGCGA
rnacentral:rRNA from 1 species